rnacentral:lncRNA from 1 species
GGUACAUAUGUCAUAACUGACUUAACCACUAUCCUUUGGUUGAAUUGUUUUCUUUUCUUUGCUUUUCUCCCCCAAUAUUAUAUGCCCCAGCCUCGAAGGGAGAUGACAUAACCUGGGCUACUACAACAUGGAAUUCUGGGAGUGAGACCCUGUGAAGCCAAAUUAAAGGUUGCUAAGGAAACAUGGCAACAGCACUCACGUGAUCUCCCUGCUCUAGAGAGAAUCUGGCCCAGCACAGUCACUAAGUCAGGAGGAGGGAAGCAAACUUGAGAUAGAUCCCAGGCAGUAAUUCGUGUUCAAAGGGAAAUAAAACUCUAAGGAAAAGGACUGAGGUCAUGGCAUUAGAAGAAGAAACGGAGGAGUCAUUUGAAAGAUAUCCAGAUCUUUCAGAAAUGGUGAGAAGGAACAAGAAAAUACUUCAGAAUAUUUUGCUGAGAAAUUUGCCUCACAAUUUGGGAGUAACGUCCAAGACCUAAGGAGAUAAGAAGUAUCUCAGGCCAAAAAAAAAAAAAAAGGCAAAUAAGCAAAUACCAUCUUCCUUUCCUCAACCUGGCCAGGAUAGAUUGACUAAGAUGUUGCCCGACAGGAUUGCCAAGCUUCGUGUUUCUCUCCGGGCACUUUUGCACAUGGUCUUAACACAGGAUAGGAACAUUUCAGAACUUGAUUCAUCAAUGGAUAAAAAGGGACCUGCUUGGCUGGCAAACAUCUUCCAUAGAUAUGACACCUACAUGUGGAGAGCAAUCCAAAGAAUAUGAAGAAGAAAGCUACGAAUGAGGAGAGAUGGCAGAAACUGGAAGACCCCAACAUUCACUGUUGUCCAUCAUAUAAGCGUUAACCAGGAUGUCAGCAAACAGUUUGAAGAGCAUCCGGGAGUCAGAGGAGAGGCAAAGGGUAGCUCAGGACAACUCUUCCAGUAAAAAAUUCUACUAAAUGAGGUGAUUUAAUCUGGAAGCAGCUUGAUUCUACCAACCGACUUUGCUGAGGGUUGGUCUGGGUGCCCCUUUAUGGUCCAUGUUCAUCUCCUAAGUAAAUCUGUAUCCCUCUUGGUUUACUAAGACCCUCCCUCAUCGUAGCCAUAAAGUUUCACUUUUUGAAGUUCACUAAUUCCCUAUCAGAUCCAUGUGCACUUGAGGGUGAUCAGAGUUGCAGCAGUUAAUAAGACCUGACUGGAGACCUGAUGCUGCCUACGAUGGAGUCUCCUAGGAUCUGUAGAAUGU